rnacentral:rRNA from 1 species
CCUACGGGUGGCAGCAGUGAGGAAUAUUGGUCAAUGGUCGGGAGACUGAACCAGCCAAGCCGCGUGAGGGAUGAAGGUACAGAGUAUCGUAAACCUCUUUUGUCAGGGAACAAAGGCGGGGACGCGUCCCCGGAUGAGUGUACCUGAAGAAAAAGCAUCGGCUAACUCCGUGCCAGCAGCCGCGGUAAUACGGAGGAUGCGAGCGUUAUCCGGUUUUAUUGGGUUUAAAGGGUGCGCAGGCGGUCUGGUAAGUCAGAGGUAAAAGCCCGGGGCUCAACCCCGGCCCGCCGUUGAAACUGGCAGUCUCGAGUUGGAGAGAAGUAUGCGGAAUGCGCGGUGUAGCGGUGAAAUGCAUAGAGAUCGCGCAGAACUCCGAUUGCGAAGGCAGCAUGCCGGCUCCACACUGACGCUGAGGCACGAAAGCGUGGGUAUCGAACAGGAUUAGAUACCCCUGUAGUC